CCAGACCGCCAGCUAAGGUCCCAAAGUCAUGGUUAAGUGGGAAACGAUGUGGGAAGGCCCAGACAGCCAGGAUGUUGGCUUAGAAGCAGCCAUCAUUUAAAGAAAGCGUAAUAGCUCACUGGUCGAGUCGGCCUGCGCGGAAGAUGUAACGGGGCUAAACCAUGCACCGAAGCUGCGGCAGCGACACUUUAGUGUUGUUGGGUAGGGGAGCGUUCUGUAAGCCGUUGAAGGUGUCCUGUGAGGGGUGCUGGAGGUAUCAGAAGUGCGAAUGCUGACAUAAGUAACGAUAAAGCGGGUGAAAAGCCCGCUCGCCGGAAGACCAAGGGUUCCUGUCCAACGUUAAUCGGGGCAGGGUGAGUCGACCCCUAAGGCGAGGCCGAAAGGCGUAGUCGAUGGGAAACGGGUUAAUAUUCCCGUACUUGGUGUUACUGCGAAGGGGGGACGGAGAAGG
rnacentral:rRNA from 1 species